GAUGAAGAACGCAGCGAAAUGCGAUACGUAAUGUGAAUUGCAGAAUUCAGUGAAUCAUCGAGUCUUUGAACGCACAUUGCGCCCCCUGGUAUUCCGGGGGGCAUGCCUGUCCGAGCGUCAUUGCUGCCCUCAAGCACGGCUUGUGUGUUGGGCCUCCGUCCUCCUCUCGGGGGACGGGCCCGAAAGGCAGCGGCGGCACCGCGUCCGGUCCUCGAGCGUAUGGGGCUUCGUCACCCGCUCUUGUAGGCCCGGCCGGCGCUUGCCGACACAUCAAUCUUUUUUCCAGGUUGACCUCGGAUCAGGUAGGGAUACCCGCUGAACUUAAGCAUAUCAAUAAGCGGAGGA
rnacentral:misc_RNA from 1 species